AUGCACGCUGGCGGCGUGCCUAAUCCCUGCAAGUCGCGCGCACGGACGAGAAGCUUGCUUCUCUGAUGUUAGCGGCGGACGGGUGAGUAACACGUGGAUAACCUACCUAUAAGACUGGGAUAACUUCGGGAAACCGGAGCUAAUACCGGAUGAUAUUUUGAACCGCAUGGUUCAAAAGUGAAAGACGGUCUUGCUGUCACUUAUAGAUGGAUCCGCGCUGCAUUAGCUAGUUGGUAAGGUAACGGCUUACCAAGGCAACGAUGCAUAGCCGACCUGAGAGGGUGAUCGGCCACACGGGAACUGAGACACGGUCCAGACUCCUACGGGAGGCAGCAGUAGGGAAUCUUCCGCAAUGGGCGAAGGCCUGACGGAGCAACGCCGCGUGAGUGAUGAAGGUCUUCGGAUCGUAAAACUCUGUUAUUAGGGAAGAACAUAUGUGUAAGUAACUGUGCACAUCUUGACGGUACCUAAUCAGAAAGCCACGGCUAACUACGUG
rnacentral:rRNA from 1 species